GAUGAACGCUGGCGGCGUGCUUAACACAUGCAAGUCGAGCGAGAAAAGUUCUUCGGAGCUUUUCUAGCGGCGGACGGGUGAGUAACACGUGGGCAACCUGCCUCAUAGAGGGGAAUAGCCUUCCGAAAGGAAGAUUAAUACCGCAUAACAUUGUUGAAAGGCAUCUUUUAACAAUCAAAGGAGCAAUCCGCUAUGAGAUGGGCCCGCGGCGCAUUAGCUAGUUGGUGAGGUAACGGCUCACCAAGGCGACGAUGCGUAGCCGACCUGAGAGGGUGAUCGGCCACAUUGGAACUGAGACACGGUCCGGACUCCUACGGGAGGCAGCAGUGGGGAAUAUUGCACAAUGGGGGAAACCCUGAUGCAGCAACGCCGCGUGAGUGAUGAAGGUCUUCGGAUUGUAAAGCUCUUUUGGUAGGGACGAUAAUGACGGUACCUACAGAAUAAGCUCCGGCUAACUUCGUGCCAGCCGCCGCCGUAA
rnacentral:rRNA from 1 species